GACACUUUUUGUCUUUCAAAUUACAUACACAUACUAAGACACUUGCUGCUAGAAGCACACUUCUUAUUUGUGCAAUGUCCUACAUACCCUCUAAUUAACUACACUUUCUCCUAACACUAACUACUUUCCCAACUAUAAAAGUUUUAUUUUUUUCUUUUAAAAAUAAAUCGAUAAAGCAAACAUUUUUUCAGUUUUCAAAACAGAACUUUUAUUCUUUCUACAUCUUUAUUUCGAAAUUCAGAUUCGCUUUCCUAUUUCUCUCCUAACCCUAAUUCCACGAACCCUCUUCUCCUUCAUCUUUAAUUUUGUAAUCUUCAUGAUUUCAGAGGUCUCGCCGCGAGUUUGAUUUCUCUCCUAACCUUAAUCCGCUCUCAUCACCUUUAUCAUGCUCUCAUCGUCGUCCAUUUCCAUCGCUCUGUGUAAUGAUGACGAAACCCAAAUCAAAGAAGAAAGUGAAGAUAACUAAGCACUUUUUUUUUUUUUUUAAAUCUCAGGUAUGUGGAUCAGUUCUCAAGGUGUCUCCAUGUUGAGUACAAGAAAAGUGGGAUUGAUGUUCAAUGCCAGGUGAACUUUCCUGAACCAUUGCUGCUUUGUUUUGCUGCGUCUUUGUGUUGAUUUUGGCUUGUGAUCAUAGAUUCAUAGGUUAAGUUACCAAGAAUAGUAGUUCCUGGCUUCAUAUGUUCCCCUUUGGAAAAUAAUGAAGUAGUUAUUUAAGUUUUUGUCUGACAAUUUUUUUAAUGUGUAAAACGUAGUUUCUUUAAUCCAUUGAAAAGACGUUAUGCUGUAUCUUUCAUGGUUUCCUGACACUGUUUAAUGGACCUAGAAGGUUGAUGAUUUUUGUUUCAAAAGCUUAUUUUAGUGUUUUUUUCGAUUGAGGAACUAUUGCAUCCCAUUUCUCUUUGCUGAAUGAAUACUUCUGUGAUGUGAGAUCUCGUUUCUGAUGCCUGUUUAUGUUAUAGAGUGUCAAAACUAGAAAACUAUGGAAUAUGUAUCAUAUGGAAGAGCAUCAUUAACCCUAGCAACUCACAUUAGGGGUGCUUAAAUUUUUUUUUUUUUAGUUUUUUUCUUUCUGACUAAAAAAAAAAUUAAAAAAGAACCAAUUGCGGGCCGCCACGUGUCGGUGGGGCCCGCAAUCAGAAAAACAAUGACGCUUAAAGAAGCAUCAGAAGCGCCGCUGCUUCUUAUUCUUCUCUUUCCUUUUUUUUUUUAAUUAAAAAACUGUUAACCACUCCUUAAGCAACCAUGGAUAAUCGUGGUCUAACUGUAUAGCUCACUGUGUAGUUGUCUGUUACCAAAUCAAUUUAAUGGGUAACGCUGCCCAAUAGCCUUUUUGGUUUCUUGAUUAUAUAUGGGUGAGUGUUUUUAUAGGUACCCUUGUAUGUUGCUACAAAGAUGACCAAGAUAAGAAGGGCAUCUUUCUUAGUUGCAUCUCCAGAGGGUUACGCAAAGGCAGCACUGCGUUUUGUAGGCUAUGAACCACGUUGCACACCUUACUGGCCUCACGCCCUCAUGGGUUAUGUUGUCUCUGCAUUGCCCGAAAGCGUUUUUGAAUCCUUUAACAUUAAGAGGUGUCUCCAGAUCCGGAAGAAGGGCAUGCUUAAGGACUCCAUUAGUAAAAAGGAGUAAAACUUUUGUGGGGUUAAGUUACUGCAAUAUCUUCUUAUGCAGUUGGUUCCUCGUAAAGUUUAUGUUUUAAAUCUUUGUAAGACUUUUAUGCUUUAGUUUCCAUGUUCCCAAUUUAUUUUUAAAACUAAAAACCUUAACGUGCACGAAUCGUCGAUAUCCUGCCUGUUUUUUUUUUAAUUUAAAUAAAAUUGAAUGUUGAUAAAAUGAAGAAAUUUUUACUUUCUAGGACACUUUUUGUCUUUCAAAUUACAUACACAUACUAAGACACUUGCUGCUAGAAGCACACUUCUUAUUUGUGCAAUGUCCUACAUACCCUCUAAUUAACUACACUUUCUCCUAACACUAACUACUUUCCCAACUAUAAAAGUUUUAUUUUUUUCUUUUAAAAAUAAAUCGAUAAAGCAAACAUUUUUUCAGUUUUCAAAACAGAACUUUUAUUCUUUCUACAUCUUUAUUUCGAAAUUCAGAUUCGCUUUCCUAUUUCUCUCCUAACCCUAAUUCCACGAACCCUCUUCUCCUUCAUCUUUAAUUUUGUAAUCUUCAUGAUUUCAGAGGUCUCGCCGCGAGUUUGAUUUCUCUCCUAACCUUAAUCCGCUCUCAUCACCUUUAGCAUGCUCUCAUCGUCGUCCAUUUCCAUCGCUCUGUGUAAUGAUGACGAAACCAAAAUCAAAGAAGAAAGUGAAGAUAACUAAGCAACCAUCCCCACCAGAAAAUGAUAUCAGAGGUUUUGUUCUCACAUCGGACGUAACAGCAGAGAAGGGGUUGAAACGGAGAGGUUCGUGGAGCUAAUGAUGUCGUCCGGUUUGAUCUGCUAUGAGUCGGUGUGGUGGGUUACUCUCGAAAGAGAAAGAGCAACAAUGGCAAAAUUUUACUUUUUGCAACUGUGGUCCUUCAUGUUUUGGUUAUUCACGCUUUCACCCCAAAAUUCUUCAAAUGUGUUUUAUGCUUCUCUUGAUCUAGCCACAAACUUUUAAUUGUAUAAUCCAGACCCUUUCAAAUGUAAAUAAACAUGUAUAUAUAUAUCCAAAUUUUAUGUCCAUGUCCACGUCCUUUAAUUGUAUAAUCCAGACAAGAGAGCAAGAGCAAAAAUGUC
rnacentral:lncRNA from 1 species